GGCUCCCCUCGUCAGGCGCAAAACGAAGGCCGUGGCGCCGGCCGGGUUCUGCCCUGACGCGGCGGCGCAGCAGCUCAUCUUAGAGCAGUUCAGCGCCGCGCGGGGGCAGGUCGAGCGGCUCCGACUGGCCUCAAACAAACCAAAUCCUCCAUUCAAAAUACCCUCAAACGACACCCCGGAGCACUGGUGUCAGUUCUGCUUCGGCGCCGCCUUCCAGCGCGCCGUCCUCCUCCGGCAGCAGCAGACCAGGCAGUCCAAGCAGGUCCUGCCGUGCUA